AGUGAACGCUGGCGGUAGGCCUAACACAUGCAAGUCGAACGGCAGCACAGUAAGAGCUUGCUCUUACGGGUGGCGAGUGGCGGACGGGUGAGGAAUACAUCGGAAUCUACUUUUUCGUGGGGGAUAACGUAGGGAAACUUACGCUAAUACCGCAUACGACCUACGGGUGAAAGCAGGGGAUCUUCGGACCUUGCGCGAUUGAAUGAGCCGAUGUCGGAUUAGCUAGUUGGCAGGGUAAAGGCCCACCAAGGCGACGAUCCGUAGCUGGUCUGAGAGGAUGAUCAGCCACACUGGAACUGAGACACGGUCCAGACUCCUACGGGAGGCAGCAGUGGGGAAUAUUGGACAAUGGGCGCAAGCCUGAUCCAGCCAUACCGCGUGGGUGAAGAAGGCCUUCGGGUUGUAAGGCCCUUUUGUUGGGAAAGAAAAGCAGCAGGUUAAUACCCCGCUGUUCUGACGGUACCCAAAGAAUAAGCACCGGCUAACUUCGUG
rnacentral:rRNA from 1 species